GUGCUUACUUCAGCAGCACAUAUAGUAAAACUGGAACGAUACAGAGAAGAUUAUUAGCAUGGCCCUGAGCAAGGAUGACAUGCAAAUUCGUGGAGCUUGCCAUAUUUAA